UAUGUGAUCGUCUCUCGCAUAUCAAUAAGCGGAGGAAAAGAAACUAACAAGGAUUCCCCUAGUAACGGCGAGUGAAGCGGGAAGAGCUCAAAUUUGAAAUCUUAAAGGGUUUCCCUUUACGAAUUGUAGUUUAAAGAAGUGUUUUCUGUUGAGGUUUUGGUAAAAGUUCUUUGGAAUAGGACAUCAUAGAGGGUGAGAAUCCCGUAUUUGACCUUUACUUUCAACUUUGUGAUACACUUUCAAAGAGUCGGAUUGUUUGGGAAUGCAGUCCAAAAUGGGUGGUAAAUUUCAUCUAAAGCUAAAUAUUGGCGAGAGACCGAUAGCGAACAUGUACCGUGAGGGAAAGAUGAAAAGAACUUUGAAAAGAGAGUUAAACAGUACGUGAAAUUGUCAAAAGGGAAGCGUUUGACACCAGUGUUGUUUUUCUGAAAAUCAAUUAAAGAACUGUUUAUGCUAAGCUGUUUAGACUUUAUCAGCUAACUGUUUAGUUUUGAGCUUUUCUUUAAUGCACUUUUCAGUUAACAAGUCAACAUCAAUUUCUUUUGCUGUAAAAAAGCUUGAGGAAGGUGGCUUGAGAUUCGUCUUAAGUGUUUAUAGCCUCUUGCCUAUGCAGUCGGAGAGAUUGAGGUCUGCAGCGUAGAUCCUUCGGGGCUAAAUGCAUUUGUGCUAAGUUAUAGCAUUUUAUAGACAACUUGUUGACUAUGAUUUGUCUUGUAGCUUACUCGCUUAUGUUAUUUUACCUACGCUUAGGAUGUUGAUCUACAGAGCGAGAGU
rnacentral:rRNA from 1 species